GACAGAGGCCUCGAGCGUUAGGCGGAAUCACUGGGCUUAAAGCGUGUGUAGGCGGGCCCGUAAGUGUCUUGUGAAAUCCCACGGCUCAACCGUGGAACUGCUGGGCAUACUGCGGGUCUUGGGCCAACUAGGGGCAGCCGGAACAAGCGGUGGAGCGGUGAAAUGCGUAGAUAUAGCUUGGAACGCCGAAGGUGAAAACAGGCUGCUGGGGUUGCGCCGACGCUGAGACACGAAAGCCAGGGGAGCAAACGGG
rnacentral:rRNA from 1 species